CAGCCCAGCAGCAGCAGGUGCGCCGGGAGACGAGCGAGGAGGACUCGACAAUGAUGAGCGAGUGGAGGCAGACGUGGUUGACCACUUGACAUGUGAGAGCCUGAGGAGUUGUUCCCCCUCUGUCCAUGUUCGAUGACUUGCUCUCUGUCUGCCUCCACUCUCUGCCUUCACUGUACCAAAGUUUGUCUGUUGAGUCUCCUCUAGUCUGGUUGACCACUUGACAUGUGAGAGCCUGAGGAGUUGUUUUCCAGACACAGGUAGAGCUAACAGGGGUGUCACCCUGGGCCUGCCCUUUUGGGCUGGGCUUCAGCUGCAGAUCUAAAGGCUGCUUCCAGGGGUAUGGGGCCCUCAGCCUUUGUUUUUCUUUGCUUCUGCACCUUACAACAUACAUCACACCUUAUUUUCACACAUCCAAACACUGUUAACACCACUGACGCGUAACAUAUUUUACACAUCCCACUACGUAGUUAGAGCUAUCUUGAUUUGGAGUUAAAUAAAUUUACUUUUGGCUUGA